GUUGAUUGCAAGUAUCUCCAGGGGCCUGGGACAGCCAGAGCUCCCACCUUCCUGUGCGUCACCAGCCAAACUUAGUGAACUCCCAGCCGAUCCAGGGAGCUGAACAAAUAGCAUCUUUUAUGUCCACUGUGACGUGGAUAUGACCAAGAAACUGAUUCCAAGGACAUAAAGAUGAAGACAUAGCCUUGAAGCUGUGACCCAUGCUGUCCAGCUUUGCAGAGCCAGCUCAAGAUGGAGUCCGCGAUGGAGUGUCUGACUCCAGCAUCCCUGCUCUCCGCGAUGCCCACCAGCUACCUUGCUCUUGUGCAUCUUUUCUGAUCACCAUGCCCUAGGCUUUCUGGCAUUGCUUCUCGACCACCAACAGCUGCUCUAUUUCUUGAUGUAUAACUUCAGUACGUGCUCAAGGCACUUAUGUUGUCCACCUGCUUUCAUCCACCCAGCAGGGCCAGGGCGGUUGCUGAAUCCGCAACGUGCACUCAAAGUUGAUUCCUCUUGAAGGAGUGAAACUUAAUGAAGACAGCCUCCCAGAGGAGGAGAGGCCGUUCUAGCCCCCACCUGCCUGCUAAGCCACUCACCUGAACCCAUGCUACAGCAUCCCUUGCCAAGUGGAUGGGGAAGGACCAACAUACGGAUGGCUGCCUGGACGCAUCACGGGAUUGGAUUCCCACCACGGCCCAUUGUUAUAUUUAUUGCUGACAAUGUAAUUAAUUGGCUGACUCCUUGUUUUUAAAUUGGUCACCCUCCAUGGACAGCUGGGCUGGGGGUUGUACUAACCGUGCCUCUGACGGGAGUGAGCUCCACAGGCCAGCUCUGCAGCAGAGCCUCGGUGACGUCAGGUGCCUCUCUCUCCCCGGGGCCAUUAACAGGCUUCCUCAUGCCCGGGAAACACACAGCAUUUUUUUCUGAGUGUUUCUCUUUCUGAAGUAUAAUCCAAUGAAAAAAAAAUUAUUUCUCAGUUUCCUUUUCCAGUGAGAAUUUCUUAAUAUAAACUGAAAUAUCACCUUUAAUAAUCACUGUAGAAAAAGACUGCAAGAACUCCAUUAGGUAUCACCCAAAUUGGCAAAUUAAAAGGGAAGCUAGAGGUCAUGUGGGGGCAUCAAAAAGCUGUUUUAACUCAUCUCUGAGUCCAGCAAUUGAGUAUGUAUUUUUAUUUCUAUACCACGAAGAAUGAUCUUUAUUUUGUUUACAGAAUGGGGAGGAUUAGUUAAAUAACAUCUGCCAAGUAUUUUAUAUUAAAGAAUUCUAAAGGUCUUUUUACAGUGAGAAUGCCUCAUAUGUGAAGCACAGCUUUCCCGGGUAGUGGCACAAGACUGGAUUCAGGGCACAAGCACCAACCUUCCUACUGGUCUCACGCCCCUUCCUUCACCUGUAAGACAGGAGUCAGUGCAUCUCACUGAUCAGACGUCUACCUGACUGAGUAACCUUGGGAAAGUCAUGAGACAGCUCUGUUUCUUGAGGUUUGAUUUACAGAAUCAGAAGACG